ACUGAAAGCACAGACUGUAUUUUUUAAUUGAUAUAUAUAUAUAUAUAUAUAUAUAUAUAUUAAUAACUACAAUACACUGAAAGAGUUAACUGUUAACAAGUCGUCAGGGGAGACUAUCCUAAACUCCAGUUCAGGUUUUCCAAGCAACACCUGCUAACCGAGAAAUUCAAUUAAGGGCUCCUCUUCCCACUUGGAGCCGGUCUCCAGGGCAGAUCUUCCGGCCAACUCGCCCUGUAAGAAAUUAGAAAAUGCUACAAUAAAACCUGAAAAAACUGAAAAAAAUGUGGGAACUUUAAUAAUGAAAGCUCUCACACCGGCCACCGUAAGCACACUCACACCUCCCCUGAGUUGGAAGUCACCGAGAGACAGCGAAGUAGCACAGAAAUCAGAUGGCAGUAGAGUGAGCAUCGGCCAGAGGCGAUAACUCCUCAGCGGAUUAGUCUUCAGCAGACAUUAUUCAACAGGAAGGUGAGUCUUUAACUUUUAUUCCUGCACCAUUUUUAUGUGGUAUAGCAAAUAUAGGUAACCCCCCCCCCAAAACAUUUAAGACUGGAACUGGCUUUCCUCCCUGUCUUUGACAGAUCGGCCC
rnacentral:lncRNA from 1 species